rnacentral:lncRNA from 1 species
GGAGCUCUAAACAUAAAACACAAUAAUCUCACUUCUCAUGGGUUUUACUAUAUUAUUUUUCAGCAGCAACAUUAAUAAAUCAAUAUGAACAAAACAUUUUCAUAUCAAUUACUAAUUGUUCAGUUUGGUUCCAAAUUAACAUAGGGAUGACUAACCUUGAGAAAUAGUUGUCUUAGCAAAAUCCCGGAUGAUAUAUUGCUUUGGUUCUAAAUUAACUUGCAUUUAACAACUACUUCCUGCCUCCACUAAG